GGGCAGGUGGAGAAGAACGGGAUAGGUAGUGAAGCAGACAAAUGAGCACCACACCAAAUGUUUCUGUUUCAAUUUUCCCGGUGUCCACAUUUCUGAAGACUUCUCCUGGUCCCUUAAACCUCAGUGCAAGAAAGGUGAAACAUUGGUAAUGAAAUGUGUUACACUUCAGUAGUUGUCUUAACUAAGACAUUUAUAAAUACCACUUUAAUGUAUUAUGAUUUAUAUGGGAAAAUGUAUUGGUAAUAUAUGUAAAGAUA